rnacentral:rRNA from 1 species
AUUGAACGCUGGCGGCAUGCCUUACACAUGCAAGUCGAGCGGCAGCGCGGGGGCAACCCUGGCGGCGAGCGGCGAACGGGUGAGUAAUGCAUCGGAACGUGUCCUCUUGUGGGGGAUAACCAGUCGAAAGACUGGCUAAUACCGCAUGAGAUCGCAAGAUGAAAGCAGGGGACCCGCAAGGGCCUUGCGCGAGAGGAGCGGCCGAUGCCCGAUAGCUAGUUGGUGGGGUAAAAGCCUACCAAGGCGACGAUCGGUAGCUGGUCUGAGAGGACGACCAGCCACACUGGGACUGAGACACGGCCCAGACUCCUACGGGGGCAGCAGUGGGGAAUUGUUCGCAAUGGGCGCAAGCCUGACGACGCAACGCCGCGUGGAGACGAA